ACACGUGGGUAACCUGCCUGUAAGACUGGGAUAACUCCGGGAAACCGGGGCUAAUACCGGAUGGUUGUCUGAACCGCAUGGUUCAGACAUAAAAGGUGGCUUCGGCUACCACUUACAGAUGGACCCGCGGCGCAUUAGCUAGUUGGUGAGGUAACGGCUCACCAAGGCGACGAUGCGUAGCCGACCUGAGAGGGUGAUCGGCCACACUGGGACUGAGACACGGCCCAGACUCCUACGGGAGGCAGCAGUAGGGAAUCUUCCGCAAUGGACGAAAGUCUGACGGAGCAACGCCGCGUGAGUGAUGAAGGUUUUCGGAUCGUAAAGCUCUGUUGUUAGGGAAGAACAAGUGCCGUUCAAAUAGGGCGGCACCUUGACGGUACCUAACCAGAAAGCCACGGCUAACUACGUGCCAGCAGCCGCGGUAAUACGUAGGUGGCAAGCGUUGUCCGGAAUUAUUGGGCGUAAAGGGCUCGCAGGCGGUUUCUUAAGUCUGAUGUGAAAGCCCCCGGCUCAACCGGGGAGGGUCAUUGGAAACUGGGGAACUUGAGUGCAGAAGAGGAGAGUGGAAUUCCACGUGUAGCGGUGAAAUGCGUAGAGAUGUGGAGGAACACCAGUGGCGAAGGCGACUCUCUGGUCUGUAACUGACGCUGAGGAGCGAAAGCGUGGGGAGCGAACAGGAUUAGAUACCCUGGUAGUCCACGCCGUAAACGAUGAGUGCUAAGUGUUAGGGGGUUUCCGCCCCUUAGUGCUGCAGCUAACGCAUUAAGCACUCCGCCUGGGGAGUACGGUCGCAAGACUGAAACUCAAAGGAAUUGACGGGGGCCCGCACAAGCGGUGGAGCAUGUGGUUUAAUUCGAAGCAACGCGAAGAACCUUACCAGGUCUUGACAUCCUCUGACAAUCCUAGAGAUAGGACGUCCCCUUCGGGGGCAGAGUGACAGGUGGUGCAUGGUUGUCGUCAGCUCGUGUCGUGAGAUGUUGGGUUAAGUCCCGCAACGAGCGCAACCCUUGAUCUUAGUUGCCAGCAUUCAGUUGGGCACUCUAAGGUGACUGCCGGUGACAAACCGGAGGAAGGUGGGGAUGACGUCAAAUCAUCAUGCCCCUUAUGACCUGGGCUACACACGUGCUACAAUGGACAGAACAAAGGGCAGCGAAACCGCGAGGUUAAGCCAAUCCCACAAAUCUGUUCUCAGUUCGGAUCGCAGUCUGCAACUCGACUGCGUGAAGCUGGAAUCGCUAGUAAUCGCGGAUCAGCAUGCCGCGGUGAUCCUU
rnacentral:rRNA from 1 species